AAGUGAAUUUAAAAUUUAAGGUAAAAAUCCUGUAAAUCAGCUUUUCUUUCUGUUCGGCUACUCUGACCUUAAAAGGACUCUAAAUUAAGUGGUUUGAGUGCCAUGUCCCUGACCACUUGCAGCUGAAAACAUUGUUAUUCUGCAGGUACUACAUUCCAUACUGACGGCCACUAGAGGCACUCCUGCUAAAUAGCAGAGUAAAACUCCACUAUUUCUAUCUGAUUGUUUUAGAAAAACCAUCUAAUUAGCACAGUGCACUAGUCUCCCAAUGCUUUCCUAUGGGAAAGCAUUAACUUGGCUGAGAUCAUUGAUCUUGAUGAUAUCAGCCAACCCUCACACGGCAGGGGAGAUUGUAAUACAGUAAAAUAAAACC